UCCUAGAGGAUAGGACGUUUCCCCUUCGGGGGACAGAGUGACAGGUGGUGCAUGGUUGUCGUCAGCUCGUGUCGUGAGAUGNUGGGUUAAGUCCCGCAACGAGCGCAACCCUUGUUCUUAGUUGCCAGCAUUNAGUUGGGCACUCUAAGGAGACUGCCGGUGACAAACCGGAGGAAGGUGGGGAUGACGUCAAAUCAUCAUGCCCCUUAUGACCUGGGCUACACACGUGCUACAAUGGAUGGUACAAAGGGCUGCAAGACCGCGAGGUUUAGCCAAUCCCAUAAAACCAUUCUCAGUUCGGAUUGUAGGCUGCAACUCGCCUACAUGAAGCCGGAAUCGCUAGUAAUCGCGGAUCACGCAUGCCGCGGUGAAUACGUUCCCGGGCCUUGUACACACCGCCCGUCACACCACGAGAGUUUGUAACACCCGAAGUCGGUGGGGUAACCGU
rnacentral:rRNA from 1 species